CAACCCCGGACUCGGCCGCCUGGGUCCGGCCGGUCCCGCCCUCUCCCUGGCCGGAGAUUCGGCCCCGUGGCGUCGGACGCCUUCCUGAGCCCGAGGGAGCGAAGCCCUUUCGUGCGGACCGUUUUCCCUGUCCGCAGCGGCCCGCAGGGUGGCGGCUUUCAAAACUUUGCCGGCCGGGAAGGCUCUUGGGUCCGGCUUCUUGGAGCGCUCCAUCUGGGCCUCGGGGCCUCCUUUUUCUGAAACAGACCCAGAAUGCCCAGUGCUUCUGGUCCCGCGUCUCAGUUUAAAGUUCACCGCUUCUUCGGAGCUAUUUUUCUGACCUGCGCUCAACAACUCCCACCCAAACCAAGCCACCACCACCACCAAGAGUCCAUCUUUGGGCCCCUCCUUUGGAUUCUCUAGCACGGAACUCUCACUCCGCCACACAGGGUCCAGACUAGGUGACAGCAAACAUUUGAGUGAAAGAAUCUUUAUUUGGCGGUGGUGGUGCCGUGAGGAAGACAAUCAUGGAGGAAUGAUUGGUCCUCACCCGACCUGAGGCAAUGGCCAACGCAAUGCACGGCCCACGAUACUACGCUAUUUGAUCCACUCCACCCCUUCCCCCCCCCCACCCCGCCCCGCGAUGUUCUUCCUUGUUGGGAUCGCCCGCUUCAGUGGGGCAGAAGAUUCUACAUUACCCUUCUUUGACCCUUCAUCCAGCUCAAGAAAACAGUGGGAUCAACCGCCCUGCUUCUGGUGAAGCUAUUUGCUCCUAAUGCUGAGCAGAUGUACAUUGUUAAUCACUUGAAAGAGAGCCCAGCAGAAGAGAAGAGAAAUGUGCUGGAGGAAAAUGCCAGGAGAGCCCAUGGGGACAUACAAGAUUUGGCAGACCUGAACUCCAGCAAGCUUGAAGCUGUCAUUAUACCGGUUCUGUCUCGGUCCAGGAAGAACCAGAAGCUACGAAUUCCACCUCUGGAAGGUUCACAUUCCCACCAGGGGAGGAGUGAGGAAGCACAGCUGGCCUCGAAUAGGUACAGAGCACUUUCCUUGUCCUGUGUACUGAUUGGCUUGUCUCUCUACUCACAGUUUAUGGAUUAUAA